GAAUCGCCGUGAAGAAAGCGCAACUACGCUCCGCUCCGCGGGCCAAGAAACUGGAGAAACUCGGAGUGUACUCCGCCUGCAAGGCCGAGGAGUCUUGUAAAUGUAAUGGCUGGAAAAACCCUAACCCCUCACCCACUCCCCCCAGAGCCGAUCUGCAGCAAAUAAUUGUCAGUCUAACAGAAUCCUGUCGGAGUUGUAGCCAUGCCCUAGCUGCUCAUGUUUCCCACCUGGAGAAUGUGUCAGAGGAAGAAAUGAACAGACUCCUGGGAAUAGUAUUGGAUGUGGAGUAUCUCUUUACCUGUGUCCACAAGGAAGAAGAUGCAGAUACCAAACAAGUUUAUUUCUAUCUAUUUAAGCUCUUGAGAAAGUCUAUUUUACAAAGAGGAAAACCUGUGGUUGAAGGCUCUUUGGAAAAGAAACCCCCAUUUGAAAAACCUAGCAUUGAACAGGGGUUUUGACCUUUUCAGUCCAUGGUUUUGAUUUUCUCCUUAAUGCUUCAGGAUUUCAGCAGGCGUAGAAUCACAACUCACAGCCUCUCUGUCUUGUCACUUUUCAUCCACCGUGAUCUGAG
rnacentral:sRNA from 1 species